CACGUCACCAUGAACUAUCAUGCUAGUUGUAGUUUUCCACGUUCGGGAACUCCUUUUCUGUUCCAUGUUUGCUCCUAGCCCUUAUCUCUCCGUGUGAUUGGAUUUUAUCAACCUGCUUUGCCCCCAUCUCUUGAGGUGAGGAUAUGUCUUCUCUUCUUUCACCUAUGCAUGUGGUGAAUGAAAUUACUAAAUCUUUAAUGUUCACUCAAAUUUGUAUGCCUACAAUCAACCGCCUUGAUCAUGGCAUGUUACGUGGUUUAUACUUUGCUGGAUUUCCUUUGCUUGGCGUCUUACGUAGGGUUUUGCAUCUCAGUUACUGAGUGUGCUUGUCCUCUAACUCUUCUUCUACUAUCCUUCUCUAGUUUGUUAUCAAUUUUAAACUAGCCUUAAGGAUCAAGUUAGGGGAAUAUCUCAUGAUUUUCUAAUCUCUGUUGACUACGUACAAGAUUAAAAUGACUGUUUCUUGCAUGUUUGCUGGAACCUGACUGGAAACGAUCUAGGUCUGCCGUUUUCUUUGUAGGGAGAUGUUGAACUACUGACCCACUUUAUUUAGUGGUUAAAGGCAUCUUCUGGUGCUAAUUUACUUAGAAAAAAUUCUGAUGCAUGUUCUAGGGUGCUCGAAUCUCAUCUUUAAAUAUUGAUUAUCAGGGCUUGUAGCCUCAUGCAAGCCAAUUCAUCAAUCCCAGAUUUCCCCAAAGUCAGGCUCUGCAACUCUUCCCGGUACCAAAUUCCCUCAUUUAAGACUUAUUUGCAAAGAAAGAGACAACAGUAUGCUAUCUACGCAGUUGUGUAUCCGCAGCCUUCUUGAGUCCAUAUUGUGAGGAUACAGUCUUCUAAUACUUUUUUUGUAAUUGUUCUUUUUCUUAUUUUUUUUUUUCCUUUUUUCACUGCCAAUACACCCCCUCCCCCAAUCUAGUAGUUUUAAAGUUGUGCGUUUCAGGUUCAAGUCUGUAAUCCAGCUGGGCUUCUGUUUGUGCUGCAUGUGUGCAUCAAAAGAACGUGCUUCUAGAAGUAGAAAGCAGGCAGUGAGACUGUUGGGUGGUUGGCGGGGUAGGGGGAGGGGAGCUGCUGCUCAGAGAGGGCGCCCGAGGGAGGCACGAGAUGCCGGGCUGCCCACCGCAAGCCCGCAGACUCCAAGGAGGUGGAACCUGCGUGCGCCAUGAGCCUUUUGAGACAGGCCCAAGCCCGCCCAGCCGGGUGCUUGCAAGUUCCACCAGGACUAGGGGAAGCCUAAGGCCAAGGAGGGCAAGGUCUAGGGUCUGGACCUGAGAACUGGUUCUGCCACUUGUGAUCGCAGAGCUUAUGCUGGAAAGGAGGGCAGGAAGCAUAUCACAAUGUGUGUCCGGAGGAUGACCCAGAAGGGCGGGAGUUGUGGUCACCCAGGGACUCUGGGUCUGCAUAUGGAGGCCCCCAGGGUGCAAUUCCAGGAGCAGAAGGCAAAGCCACAGAGGCCAAAGUGCACCUCGCCAAUGCUUCCCAGGGGCAUUGCCCCAAAUAUGGGGAGCAGUCCCUACUCUGGGCUAGGGACUUUGUUUCCUCCAUUCUCAUCACUGACUGUGAGCAGACUCUAGUCUAUGCAGACUAAUGAGGAGUUAUCAAAAUGAGCUCCAAACUCCGGAUUUGAGUUAAGGAUCAUAAACUAACAUAGAGAAAUACGACUUUAGCAAUAAGUGACUGUUUGAAGCCCAAGUUGCCUUAAAACACAGAAUUUCAGUCUUUCAGCUCCUCUGCUAACGUAAUAACUAAGAACAGAAUCUCACUGGAGCUCAAAGAUGUGGGGCACUGGGAAUACUCCUGGGUCUGUCUGCUCACGGCUGAUUGCCUGAUUCCCAGUUUUAUUAUACAGCUUAAAUACAGACCAGAAGAGGAGUUUGGGGCUUGACAUCUGACAUCUUAACACCAGUUCCUGUUUCUUGAGGAAGGAAGAGGUAAAAUAAAUCAGCGUUUACUGUGUCCUUCUCCAUCCCCGGAAGUCCUUGUGAAGACCCUCUCAGAAUGACUAGACCUCCUGCAGAAUGACUAUAUUGUGCCUCCCUUGGGCACCCCUGUCUGCGCAGCACCCUCCGCCCCCAACUGCCCAACCGCCUCUCUCCUGGCAUUCUGCUUCUAGAAGUAUGUUCUUUUGAUGCAGAGAUGCAACACACACAGAAAUCCCAGCUGGAUUACAGACUUGAACCCGAAGACCUUAUGCAGAAUGACUAUUUAUGAACCACUAAACUCAGUACUAAAGCAGCUUCAACUUGAACGUGAAUAUGAGCAACUGAUCGUCUGUUCUGCAGUCAGCCCCUGGCCUGAUUCUGACUCAUGAUAUUGACCUUCUCCAUCAUCACCUUCCACAAAUUUGAUUCCUGUCUAUUCUGCCUGGAAUGGUUCAUAAGUAUAGUCACCGUUUAUGUUCCUGAUGAAAGGUAUGUGCAAUGAAUAAGUCACUGGUCUUGCCAAAUUCUAUCAUGUAAGCUUCAUUGUCAUUUCUAUCAUCAAUACCUUAUUUUCCAACUGCUGAUUUGUCUGCUUUGUUUUCAACUUCGCAUUCUAAAUGAUUGAUCAAUGCAUCACGUUUGAUCAGUUUCAAACUGUAUAACUUGGUAAAAACCUUCAACUUGUUCAUCUUUCACAUUCAUGAUUUGUGUGUAAAUUUGAAUAAUAGUCUUAUUAACUGGUCGUCCUGGUAGGCCUGUGGAUAUUAUCCUAUUGCUUGUAGUGUUGUACUUCAGAAAAGAUCUUGAUAUGUUCUUUUUAUCGAUGAAUAUGAUGCCGUUCUCUUUAGUAUCUCAAUCCUGGCAUAGUAGAACAUAUCAUUGUCUAGUUUAAAAUGUCCAAAACCAAGCUAUUUCAGCUCACUAAUGCCUUGGAUUACUGACCUUUAUGCAUUCCAUUUCAUUUUUGAUGACUUCCAAUUUCCCUAGAUUCAUACUUCCUUCAUUCCACAUUCUGAUUAUUAAAGGAUAUUUGCAUCAGUUUCUUCUCAUUAUGAGUUAUGCCCCAUCAGGAAAUGUCAUUAAAGUGGGAUCUACUUUGAGGAGGUAGCUCUUCCCCACUCGUAUUUUGAGUGCCUUCCAACCUAAGGGGUUAUCCUCUGUCAUUCAAUCAGACAGUGUUCCAGUGCUAUUUGUAAGAUUUCACUGGCCAGUUUUUUUUAGAAAUAGAUCACUAGGUCCUUUUUCCUAGUCUGUCUAAAUCCAGAGCUCCACUCAAAGCUGUCUACCAUGGGUGAACCUGGUGGUAUUUGAAAUACCGGUGGCAUAGCUUCUAACAUCACAGCAACAUGCAAGCCACCACACUACAACAAACUGACAGAAGAGUGGUGGGAGUUAAAAAUGAGAAGAACCAAAAAGAGUGCUUCUUCCAUGUCUGCUGAUUUAGAGGAACCAUGAAAAAUUGUCAAGUGAAGAGUGAUUCAGAGAAAAACAUGGGUAGAGUGUGACCUAAUUUCCAUAAAAACAAACAAAUGAAUGUCCUUACGUGUGUCCCGGCAAAAAGCAGUGUGUAAAAGGGUACAUGUGUAUCUUUGGACACUGGACACUUCAGGGGAGCUGGUACAAUAUACUUAUGUGGGGAUGGCUCUUAUUAUAACUUCUGUAUACAAAUCUCUAUUGUUAAAUGUGUUAUAAGAAUGUAAAACCUUUUAAAGUUAAUAACAUCAUACGUGUAUGUGUGUGUAUUUGAAACUUUUUUUCUGUUUUGACUAUUUUAUAUAUGUGUUUUUUAGUUAUCUAGUGUGGCUAUAGCAGAGAUACCACAAGUGGAUGGCUUUAACAAACAGAAGCUUAUUCUCUCACAGUUUAAGAAGCAAGAAGUUUGAAGUCAGGGCACCAGCUCUAGGAGAAAGCUUUCUCUGUUUGUGGCUCUGGGGGAAGGCCCUUGUCAUCUAUCUUCCCCUGGCCUAGGAAAUUCUCAGCGUGUGGACACUGGGUCAAAAAGACGUGCUCCACUCCAGGCACUUCUUCCUUGGUGGUAUGAGGUCCCUCUCAUUUCUGCUCACUUUUCUCUUUGUAUGUCAAAAGAGACUGACUCAAGACUCACCCUAAUCCUGUAGAUUGUGUCCUCCCUCAUUAACCUAACUGCCUCUAAUCCUGCCUCAUUAACAUCACAGAGGUUGGAAUUUACAACACAUAAGUAAUCACAUCAGAUCACAAAAUGCAGGACAACCACACAAUACUGGGAAUCAGGGUCUGGCCAGGUUGACACAUAUUUUGGGGGACACUAUUCAAUCCAUAACAAUAGAGAAAACACUGUCUUCAAUGCCAGAUUCAGAGACUUUUAUCCAUCUGUGAAGGGCAAACACAGAAAUUGAACAAAAUUCAGACCAGCGAAUUAUUGCUUGCUCUUGUAACUAAUGACUUCUUCUGGUCUCUAUGCCUGGAAAUGGCCAAAAAGAAUUCUGUGAGGAUUAAUUCAGUUAUUGCUCAAACAUCUACUGCAUUUACAUGUCUACAGAUAAGGAAGAAUGCUGGACACCAUGUGUGAUUCAUUAAGUAACACGGGGACCAUUAGACUAUUGUUCUCCUUCUCUGAUAUGCCACUAUCACCUUCUCCCCUUGUUGCUCUCCUGAAAAACCCACGCUUGUAUAUUCUAGGCUUUUAUCCAGGAUUGAAUUUGCAAGAAGUUAAAGAUAUAUCUUUGAAAGAUAAAGAAGACUUUGGCCACAUUGUCUUUAGACAGUUGAACUUCCCAGCCAACCUCUGUGCAGGAUGGGAAUUCACAAUCCCUCCUACUCAGUACCUCUGAGCAGGACGGGAUUUCUGUUUCAUUGUCAGGAGAAGGCGGAAUUCAGCCUUCUUCAGAAAACUUACUUUCCUUUGCCUCAAACUGUCCCUCUCAGGAUCUGUCACGGUCACUCUGAGAAAUUCACAUGGGCAGCCUGUAUGGAAGUGCCCAUCCUAGAGGCCCUGCCCUCCCUUCCUUGCUCCACAGGGCUUCCUCUGACACUUGGGGUCACAUCUCCCAGGGA